UAGGGAAUAUUGCAAAAUGGGCGAAAGCCCGAUGCAGCAACGCCGCGUGGGCGAUGAAGGCCUUCGGGUCGUAAAGCCCUUUUUGAGGGGAUGAGGAAGGACAGUACCCUCAGAAUAAGCCUCGGCUAACUACGUGCCAGCAGCCGCGGUAAAACGUAGGAGGCGAGCGUUAUCCGGAUUUACUGGGCGUAAAGCGCGUGCAGGCGGAUUGGAGAGUUGGAUGUGAAAGCUCCCGGCUUAACUGGGAGAGGUCGUCCAAUACUUCCAGUCUUGAGUGCAGUAGAGGGAAGUGGAAUUCCGGGUGUAGUGGUGAAAUGCGUAGAUAUCCGGAGGCACACCAGUGGCGAAAGCGGCUUCCUGGACUGUAACUGACGCUCAGACGCGAAAGCUAGGGUAGCAAACG
rnacentral:rRNA from 1 species